GCUCGAGACGAGGUGGACGUAUCAGUGCUAAUGGCUGCCGCCAAACCUUGAAGGAGGCUCCAGACCAGGAGAAAGGUGAUGGCAAAAGAGAAAUUAGACCACCUUCUAGACUUGCUGGGGUAUACUGAUGAAGAAGCUGUCAACAAGAGGAGACAAACUAGCGCUGCAAAGAGAAAGCAUCCCAUCCUUACUUCAUAUGAUGACUCUUCGGAAGAUGACAGGUCACAUUCAAAACCUCACUUGCCCUAUUAUUCAGAGGAAAUUGGUCUACUUGAUGAUCCUACUGCAGCACUAAGUACUCAGUCCUCACAAAGAUUUGGUCUCUCCGUUGGUCCUACUACAAGUACUACGCCUUCAAGAGAGAUUGCGGAAUGUAUAUGCUUGUGUGUUGUCAUGGGCUAGAGCCAGUGCUGUUUGUUGAGUGAACAAUGGUUAGAAAUAUAUAGAGUGAAUAUUAGUGUGUUAAAAAAGGUAAUGGUAAAUGCUAAGAUAGUAAGUAAUAUUACAGAUUCACUUUAAGAGGCUCUAUACCCUGUCAAUUUGGGUCUUCAGUCACUGACAGCAUAACAGUCACACAAGCCCACAGGAACCAACAGGACGUCUACAAGAAGACUUGACUUCGUGAGGAAUCAACACUUGCAGGGCAAUCAGUUUCCUUAAAAGGUUAUUAUUAUUUUUAUUUGAUUUAUCUUUUUGAGUAAGCAAAGACUAAGGAAGCAGUUAGAGAUAGAAAUUUUUGAUGAUGGCCCUAGAGAAAAUCUAAACCAGCUUUUCCCCACCUUUCUGACUUCUGAAGAGGAGGUGGAACAGUUUGAAAAAAACACCCAGAAAAGCCUCAUAGAAAGUCAAUGGUAAGCUUUAUAUUUUUUAUACUGAUACCCAGUUACCAAUUCGUUGCUCAACAUUAUUUUGUAGGGAUUAAGACAAAACUAAAACAGGUUGCCAAUAGAAUUACACCAUUUAGAAUUAAAAUGAAGUAAGUAUUAUAGAGGUUUUAACAACAAUGACCACAGUUUUUCCUAUUGGGCAACUAAUAUUAGUUUCUGUUAAAUGUUGGUAUGUGCCUGGGUUGAAUGAUUGUAUUUCUUAAUAUUGGCUUUAUAUAUUUUCGUAUUGUUUUCUUUAUACCUUUCCUUUUUCAUUAUUUAUUAAUUGUAUUUUUUUAUUUUGUUUGGUUUUGCUAUUCUCUCUAUUGUUUUCUUCACAUACUUGAUAUUUAAUUUUUUUUCUUCAAGUGUUGCCAUUAGAUUUCUGCCCAAACAAGAUCAGGAAGCUGACAUCGUGAUAGAUGACACUAUUGCGGCCGUCCUUAAAUUUGCACCACAUGGGGAAGGAUGGGAGAAGUUUAAGCCAAGAUCAAAACCAAAGGAGAUCGAGGCCUCUCCAUCCGCCUCUUUUCUGACACCUAAAAUGCUACAUAACCCUAUAAACUUUCUUACAUGCUUGUGACUUGUGCUCCCUCUUCAUGAAUUCUUGUGUAAAUUUAUAAGUAUCUGUACUACUAUAUACUGCAUUUUAUAAGUUAAGCCAUUUUCUUUAAUUGGUUACAGUACAGUAAAGUGUCCCCAUAUAUGAAUUUAUUUGUCCAACGCCUGUGGAAUAGUUAACUGAGAUAUUCAAAAAUUAUGUAUUACCCUUGUGGACAGAAUUAUGAAUAAAUUUGUAGACUCUAUAGUUUAACAUCAUGGGUAUUUCAAUAAAUUCUUGGUCUUCCUGCCCUCGGAGUGGGAGUAAGGCAUCAUAGAUAAUUAGUGAUUUUUUAGGCUAAGGUGUGCAAUAAUAAAAAGGUUCUACAUGCCUUAUUCAUAUACAAAUUGUGUAAUUAUAUCUAGUUGUAUUUCCAUUUCCUUUUAUGGAAACACAUUUUAAAUAGCUUAUGUUCUGAACUGUGUGGAGUGAUUCAUCAUAUGUUCUUUCCACAUGUCCAUUAUCCCUUGAUCUCAGAUACAGUUCCUUACCCCUCACACCUCUCCCUAACCUAUUCAUAACUCUGUAGGUUAAACUACCUCCUUUCACAUGUUCCCAAGAACUUCAGCCCAACCACAUUUGUCAUCUUUUUACAGUCACUGGCAUUCCAAAACUUUCUAUUUUUAACUUGCUUAUCUUGACACUUUUAAGCUCUCAAAACCUUUCUGCUCUCCAUGGAAUAUCGAUCAUCACCUUCAAAAUUAUCAGAAAUGGUGCCCACUACUUCCAUCCUCUUUCUAUUCGAAACUAUUUGAAACCUUCUACAAGCCAUAUUUUCCUUAUUAUACAUCAUAUUAUUUACUCCUCUCAACAGUCCCCCUCAAUGUAGUUGCAACUAUAUGUAUCUUACCGUGUACUUUCAUACUUUGUAGAAUAA